GACAAGCUGCGGCUGAGUUUGAGCUCGGCUUUGGGCUUGUUCCCCGGGUGGGCUCUGCCCACAGCUCUGUCCCCCUCUUCCUCGGCACCGCCGGGGUGCUGGAGCACGUGGGGCGUGACUACAGCCUCGGGAUCCGCCCGGGUGACGUGCGUGUGCUGGACGGUGGCGUAGAUAACUUUCUGGUUUUGGUCCGGAGAGCUGGUCCGUGCUGGUCCAGGGGCAGAUCGGGGAAGAGCCGUGAAGCAACCCUGAAAACUGCUCUGGAACCUGGAUGUCCUGGCCGUCGGCGGAGUCCUGGCUGCGGCUGCCACUGCUCCUCCUGUGGUCUUCGAUGGGAUGAAAACGAGGGGUGGGGGGGAGAAUUAAAAACAUGGAAGAAGCAGCAAAAUUCCAGCUCUCCCCCUGCCCUCCCUCAGCGAGGGAGGGAGAGAUAAAGAGAGAACAGUUCAGUAUUGUUCCGCGUGCUCAACUUGUACCCAAAGUCAUGGCAUUUAUGAAAUUCCAAACACUGGCCUGAUUUAUGCAAUCUG